GCGAUCAUACCAGCACUAAUACACCUGAUCCCUUAAGAAAUCCGAAGUUAUGCGUACUUAGGCGAGAGCAGUACUAGGAUGGGUGACCCCCUGAGAAGUCCUCGUGUUGCACCU
rnacentral:rRNA from 1 species